rnacentral:rRNA from 1 species
UAGGGAAUCUUCGGCAAUGGACGGAAGUCUGACCGAGCAACGCCGCGUGAGUGAAGAAGGUUUUCGGAUCGUAAAGCUCUGUUGUAAGAGAAGAACGAGUGUGAGAGUGGAAAGUUCACACUGUGACGGUAUCUUACCAGAAAGGGACGGCUAACUACGUGCCAGCAGCCGCGGUAAUACGUAGGUCCCGAGCGUUGUCCGGAUUUAUUGGGCGUAAAGCGAGCGCAGGCGGUUAGAUAAGUCUGAAGUUAAGGGCUGUGGCUUAACCAUAGUAGGCUUUGGAAACUGUUUAACUUGAGUGCAAGAGGGGAGAGUGGAAUUCCAUGUGUAGCGGUGAAAUGCGUAGAUAUAUGGAGGAACACCGGUGGCGAAAGCGGCUCUCUGGCUUGUAACUGACGCUGAGGCUCGAAAGCGUGGGGAGCAAACAGGAUUAGAUACCCUGGUAGUCCACGCUGUAAACGAUGAGUGCUAGGUGUUAGACCCUUUCCGGGGUUUAGUGCCGUAGCUAACACAUUAAGCACUCCGCCUGGGGAGUACGACCGCAAGGUUG